CCUACGGGAGGCAGCAGUAGGGAAUCUUCCACAAUGGGCGCAAGCCUGAUGGAGCAACACCGCGUGAGUGAAGAAGGGUUUCGGCUCGUAAAGCUCUGUUUUUGGAGAAGAACGUGCGUGAGAGUAACUGUUCUCGCAGUGACGGUAUCAAACCAGAAAGUCACGGCUAACUACGUGCCAGCAGCCGCGGUAAUACGUAGGUGGCAAGCGUUAUCCGGUUUUAUUGGGCGUAAAGCGAGCGCAGGCGGUCUCUUAGGUCUGAUGUGAAAGCCUGCGGCUUAACCGAAAAAGUGCAUCGGAAACCGGUCGACUUGAGUGCAGGAGAGGACAGUGGAACUCGAGGUGUAGCGGUGAAAUGCGUAGAUAUAUGGAAGAACACCGAUUGCGAAGGCAGCUUUCUGAUCUGCAACUGACACUGAGGCUCGAAAGCAUGGGUAGCGAACAGGAUUAGAUACCCGAGUAGUC
rnacentral:rRNA from 1 species